rnacentral:lncRNA from 1 species
AUGUGCCAACAAAUUUGGAAAACUCAGCAGUGGCCGCAGGACUGGAAAAGGUCAGUUUUCAUUCCAGUUCCAAAGAAAGACAAUGCCAAACAAUGUUCAAACUACCGCACAAUUGGACUCAUCUCACGUACUAGUAAAGUAAUGCUCAAAAUUCUCCAAGCCAGGCUUCAGCCAUACGUGAACCGUGAACUGCCUGAUGUUCAAGCUGGUUUUAAAGAAGGCAGAGGAACCAGAGAUCAAAUUGCUGACAUCUGCUGGAUCAUGGAAAAAGCAAGAGAAUUCCAGAAAAACAUCUAUUUCUGCUUUAUUGACUAUGCCAAUGCCUUUGACUGUGUGGAUCACAAUAAACUGUGGACAAUUCUGAAAGAGAUGGGAAUACCAAACCACCUCACCUGCCUCUUGAGAAAUCUGUUUGCAGGCCAGGAAGCAACAGUUAGAACUAGACAUGGAACAACAGACUGGUUCCAAAUAGGAAAAGGAGUACGUCAAGACUGUAUGUCGUCACCCUGCUUAUUUAAGUUCUGUGCAGAGUACAUCAUGAGAAACGCUGGACUGGAAGAAACAAAGGCUGGAAUCAAGAUUGCUGGGAGAAAUAUCAAUAACCUCAGAUAUGCAGAUGACACCACCCUUAUGGCAGAAAGUGAAGAGGAACUCAAAAGCCUCUUGAUGAAAGUGAAAGAGGAGAGUGAAAAAGUUGCCUUAAAGCUCAACAUUCAGAAAAUGAAGAUCACAGCAUCUGGUCCCAUCACUUCAUGGGAAAUAGAUGGGGAAACAGCGGAAACAGUGUCAGACUUUAUUUUUUGGGGCUCCAAAAUCACUGCAGAUGGUGAUUGCAGCCAUGAAAUUAAAAGACACUUACUCCUUGGAAGAAAAGUUAUGACCAACCUAGAUAGUAUAUUCAACAGCAGAGACAUUACUUUGCCGACUAAGGUCCGUCUAGUCAAGGCUCUGGUUUUUCCAAUGGUCAUGUAUGGAUGUGAGAGUUGGACUGUGAAGAAGGCUGAGCGCCGAAGAAUUGAUGCUUUUGAACUGUGGUGUUGGAGAAGACUCUUGAGAGUCCCUUGA